AUGCUGCUCUGCUUUCGGUUGACAGGCAUGGACAAGUGCAGAAAGCCUGGAGGAGGAGAGGAGGCAAGGAGGGGAGGAGGCCAGGGGACGAGAGAAGAGAGGAGGAGAGGAGGAGAGGAGGAGAGGAGGGGAGGAGGCCAGGGGACGAGAGAAGAGAGGAGGGGAGGAGGAGAGGAGGAGAGGAGGGGAGGAGGAGAGGAGGAGAGAAGGAGAGGAGGAGAGGAGGCAAGAAGGGGAGGAGGCCAGGGGACGAGAGAAGAGGAGGAGGAGGAGAGGAGGAGAGGAGGGGAGGAGGCCAGGGGACGAGAGAAGAGAGGAGGGGAGGAGGAGGAGGAGGAGGAGGAGAGGAGGAGAGGAGGAGGAGGCCAGGGGAGAGAGAGAGAGGAGGAGGGGAGGAGGCCAGGGGACGAGAGAAGAGAGGAGGAGAGGAGGAGAGGAGGAGGAGGAGGAGGAGGAGGAGGAGGAGGAGAGGAGGAGAGGAGGAGAGGAGGCAAGAAGGGGAGGAGGAGGGGAGGGGAGAGAGAGAGGAGGAGAGGGAGGAGAGGAGGGGAGGAGGCCAGGGGACGAGAGAAGAGAGGAGGAGAGGAGGAGGAGGAGGAGGAGGAGGAGGAGGAGAGGAGGAGGAGGAGGAGAGGAGGAGGAGGAGAGGAGGAGAGGAGGAGAGGAGGAGGAGGAGGCAGAAGGGGAGGAGGCCAGGGGACGAGAGAAGAGGAGGAGGAGAGGAGAGGAGGAGGAGGAGGGGAGGAGGCCAGGGGACGAGAGAAGAGAGGAGGAGAGGAGGAGAGGAGGAGAGGAGGGGAGGAGGCCAGGGGACGAGAGAAGAGAGGAGGAGGAGGAGGAGGAGGAGGAGGAGGAGGAGGAGGAGGAGGAGGAGGAGGAGAGGAGAGGAGGAGAGGAGGCAAGAAGGGGAGGAGGCCAGGGGACGAGAGAGAGAGGAGGAGGAGGAGGAGGAGGAGGAGGAGAGGAGGAGAGGAGGGGAGGAGGCCAGGGGACGAGAGAAGAGAGGAGGAGGAGGAGGAGGAGGAGAGGAGGAGGAGGAGAGGAGGAGGAGAGAAGGAGAGGAGGAGAGGAGGCAAGAAGGGGAGGAGGAGAGGAGGAGAGAAGAGAGGAGGAGAGGAGGCAAGAAGGGGAGGAGGCCAGGGGACGAGAGAAGAGAGGAGGAGAGGAGGAGAGGAGGGGAGGAGGCCAGGGACGAGAGAGAGGAGGAGGAGGAGGAGGAGGAGGAGGAGGGGAGGAGGAGGAGGAGGAGAGAAGGAGAGGAGGCAAGAAGGGGAGGAGGCCAGGGGACGAGAGAAGAGAGGAGGAGAGGAGGAGAGGAGGAGAGGAGGGGAGGAGGCCAGGGGACGAGAGAAGAGAGGAGGAGAGGAGGGGAGGAGGAGAGGAGGAGAGAAGGAGGAGGAGGAGAGGAGGAGAGGAGGCAAGAAGGGGAGGAGGCCAGGGGACGAGAGAAGAGAGGAGGGGACGAGGGGAGGAGGAGAGGAGGAGAGGAGGAGAGAAGGGGAGGAGGGGAGGAGGCCAGGGGAAGAGAGAAGAGAGGAUGAGAGGAGGAGAGGAGGGGAUGAGAGAGGAGAAGAGGGGACGAGGGGAGGAGGAGAGGAGGAGAGGAGGAGAGAAGGGGAGGAGGGGAGGAGGGGAGGAGGCCAGGGGAAGAGAGAAGAGAGGAUGAGAGGAGGAGAGGAGGGGAUGAGAGAGGAGAGGAGGGGACAAGAGAAGUGA
ensembl:lncRNA